rnacentral:misc_RNA from 1 species
UGGUUCUGGCAUCGAUGAAGAACGCAGCGAAAUGCGAUAAGUAAUGCGAAUUGCAGAAUUCCAGUGAGUCAUCGAAUCUUUGAACGCACAUUGCGCCCUUUGGUAUUCCGAAGGGCAUGCCUGUUCGAGCGUCAUUAUCACCCCUCAAGCCCCGUGCUUGGUGUUGGACGGCCGGUCGAGCGAUCGACCCCUCCGAAAGACAAUGACGGCGGCCUGUGGUCCCCCCGGUACACUGAGCUUUUUACCGAGCACGUGCCGGACCAGGGGGCCCGGGACCCGGUCCUCUCCUUUGUAAGGAAACUUCUCAAGGUUGACCUCGGAUCAGGUAGGAAUACGCGCUGA